AUCGAACGCUGGCGGCAGGCCUAACACAUGCAAGUCGAGCGAGCGGCGGCCGGGUGAGUAAUGUCUGGGAAACUGCCAGAUGGUGGGGGAUAGCUACUCGAAACGGUAGCUAAUACCGCCUACCAUCAGAUGUACCCAGAUGGGAUUAGCUAGUAGGUGGGGUAAUGGCUCACCUAGGCGACGAUCCCUAGCUGGUCUGAGAGGAUGACCAGCCACACGGGAACUGGGACACGGUCCAAACUCCUACGUGAGGCAGCAGGGGGGAAUAUUGCACAAUGGGGGGAAAGCUAGUACAGUCAUGCCGCGUGUAUGAGGAAGGCCUUCCGUUUGUAAAGUACUUGCAGCGGUGAAGCGUUACCCGCAGAGAAAGCAUCGGCUAACUCCGUGCCGGCCGCCGCGGUAAUAC
rnacentral:rRNA from 1 species